rnacentral:snRNA from 1 species
GUUCUUUUUCAGGUGCGUUAACUCUUAAAUCAAAAAGGAGUAUCUGUUCUUUUCAGCUUAAUAUCUGAAACGCUGCUCAUUGAGUAGCUUCUAUAUUAAACUGAUUUUUGACAUUAGGCCAUGGAGUAGGAGCUUGCUCCGUCCUGGCCACGGGGUGGCCUGCUAUUGCAGUACCUCCAGGAUCGGCCCAUCCUCU